rnacentral:ncRNA from 1 species
CAACCAUUCAAUUUAGAUGUUCGUAUAACCCCGAUAAUCGGUUCGGGGGCUCUACCAGGAUCCGCAAAAAUCCUAACUACGGACGCGAUAUGUGCCAUG